AUUUAUAUAGUUUAAUAAAAUAUUACACUUUCACUGUAAAGAAGAAAUCAUUUUCUAUAAAUA
rnacentral:tRNA from 1 species